rnacentral:rRNA from 1 species
GGGUUGUGAGGUUAAGCGACUAAGCGUACACGGUGGAUGCCCUGGCAGUCAGAGGCGAUGAAGGACGUGCUAAUCUGCGAUAAGCGUCGGUAAGGUGAUAUGAACCGUUAUAACCGGCGAUUUCCGAAUGGGGAAACCCAGUGUGAUUCGUCACACUAUCAUUAACUGAAUCCAUAGGUUAAUGAGGCGAACCGGGGGAACUGAAACAUCUAAGUACCCCGAGGAAAAGAAAUCAACCGAGAUUCCCCCAGUAGCGGCGAGCGAACGGGGAGCAGCCCAGAGCCUGAAUCAGUGUGUGUGUUAGUGGAAGCGUCUGGAAAGGCGCGCGAUACAGGGUGACAGCCCCGUACACAAAAAUGCACAUACUGUGAGCUCGAUGAGUAGGGCGGGGCGCGUGCAGACCUAUCUGUGUGACUGCGUACCUUUUGUAUAAUGGGUCAGCGACUUAUAUUCUGUAGCAAGGUUAACCGAAUAGGGGAGCCGAAGGGAAACCGAGUCUUAACUGGGCGUUAAGUUGCAGGGUAUAGACCCGAAACCCGGUGAUCUAGCCAUGGGCAGGUUGAAGGUUGGGUAACACUAACUGGAGGACCGAACCGACUAAUGUUGAAAAAUUAGCGGAUGACUUGUGGCUGGGGGUGAAAGGCCAAUCAAACCGGGAGAUAGCUGGUUCUCCCCGAAAGCUAUUUAGGUAGCGCCUCGUGAAUUCAUCUCCGGGGGUAGAGCACUGUUUCGGCAAGGGGGUCAUCCCGACUUACCAACCCGAUGCAAACUGCGAAUACCGGAGAAUGUUAUCACGGGAGACACACGGCGGGUGCUAACGUCCGUCGUGAAGAGGGAAACAACCCAGACCGCCAGCUAAGGUCCCAAAGUCAUGGUUAAGUGGGAAACGAUGUGGGAAGGCCCAGACAGCCAGGAUGUUGGCUUAGAAGCAGCCAUCAUUUAAAGAAAGCGUAAUAGCUCACUGGUCGAGUCGGCCUGCGCGGAAGAUGUAACGGGGCUAAACCAUGCACCGAAGCUGCGGCAGCGACGCUGAUGCGUUGUUGGGUAGGGGAGCGUUCUGUAAGCCUGUGAAGGUGUGCUGUGAGGCAUGCUGGAGGUAUCAGAAGUGCGAAUGCUGACAUAAGUAACGAUAAAGCGGGUGAAAAGCCCGCUCGCCGGAAGACCAAGGGUUCCUGUCCAACGUUAAUCGGGGCAGGGUGAGUCGACCCCUAAGGCGAGGCCGAAAGGCGUAGUCGAUGGGAAACAGGUUAAUAUUCCUGUACUUGGUGUUACUGCGAAGGGGGGACGGAGAAGGCUAUGUUGGCCGGGCGACGGUUGUCCCGGUUUAAGCGUGUAGGCUGGUUUUCCAGGCAAAUCCGGAAAAUCAAGGCUGAGGCGUGAUGACGAGGCACUACGGUGCUGAAGCAACAAAUGCCCUGCUUCCAGGAAAAGCCUCUAAGCAUCAGGUAACAUCAAAUCGUACCCCAAACCGACACAGGUGGUCAGGUAGAGAAUACCAAGGCGCUUGAGAGAACUCGGGUGAAGGAACUAGGCAAAAUGGUGCCGUAACUUCGGGAGAAGGCACGCUGAUAUGUAGGUGAAGUCCCUCGCGGAUGGAGCUGAAAUCAGUCGAAGAUACCAGCUGGCUGCAACUGUUUAUUAAAAACACAGCACUGUGCAAACACGAAAGUGGACGUAUACGGUGUGACGCCUGCCCGGUGCCGGAAGGUUAAUUGAUGGGGUCAGCGCAAGCGAAGCUCUUGAUCGAAGCCCCGGUAAACGGCGGCCGUAACUAUAACGGUCCUAAGGUAGCGAAAUUCCUUGUCGGGUAAGUUCCGACCUGCACGAAUGGCGUAAUGAUGGCCAGGCUGUCUCCACCCGAGACUCAGUGAAAUUGAACUCGCUGUGAAGAUGCAGUGUACCCGCGGCAAGACGGAAAGACCCCGUGAACCUUUACUAUAGCUUGACACUGAACAUUGAGCCUUGAUGUGUAGGAUAGGUGGGAGGCUUUGAAGUGUGGACGCCAGUCUGCAUGGAGCCGGCCUUGAAAUACCACCCUUUAAUGUUUGAUGUUCUAACGUUGACCCGUUAUCCGGGUUGCGGACAGUGUCUGGUGGGUAGUUUGACUGGGGCGGUCUCCUCCUAAAGAGUAACGGAGGAGCACGAAGGUUGGCUAAUCCUGGUCGGACAUCAGGAGGUUAGUGCAAUGGCAUAAGCCAGCUUGACUGCGAGCGUGACGGCGCGAGCAGGUGCGAAAGCAGGUCAUAGUGAUCCGGUGGUUCUGAAUGGAAGGGCCAUCGCUCAACGGAUAAAAGGUACUCCGGGGAUAACAGGCUGAUACCGCCCAAGAGUUCAUAUCGACGGCGGUGUUUGGCACCUCGAUGUCGGCUCAUCACAUCCUGGGGCUGAAGUAGGUCCCAAGGGUAUGGCUGUUCGCCAUUUAAAGUGGUACGCGAGCUGGGUUUAGAACGUCGUGAGACAGUUCGGUCCCUAUCUGCCGUGGGCGCUGGAGAACUGAGGGGGGCUGCUCCUAGUACGAGAGGACCGGAGUGGACGCAUCACUGGUGUUCGGGUUGUCAUGCCAAUGGCACUGCCCGGUAGCUAAAUGCGGAAGAGAUAAGUGCUGAAAGCAUCUAAGCACGAAACUUGCCCCGAGAUGAGUUCUCCCUGACUCCUUGAGAGUCCUGAAGGAACGUUGAAGACGACGACGUUGAUAGGCCGGGUGUGUAAGCGCAGCGAUGCGUUGAGCUAACCGGUACUAAUGAACCGUGAGGCUUAACCUUACAACGCCGAAGGUGUUU